UAGGGAAUCUUCCACAAUGGACGCAAGUCUGAUGGAGCAACGCCGCGUGAGUGAAGAAGGCUUUCGGGUCGUAAAACUCUGUUAUUGGAGAAGAACGUGCGUGACAGUAACUGGUCAUGCAGUGACGGUAUUCAAUCAGAAAGUCACGGCUAACUACGUGCCAGCAGCCGCGGUAAUACGUAGGUGGCAAGCGUUGUCCGGAUUUAUUGGGCGUAAAGCGAGUGCAGGCGGUCUUUUAAGUCUGAUGUGAAAGCCUUCGGCUUAACCGAAGAAGGGCAUCGGAAACUGGGAGACUUGAGUGCAGAAGAGGAGA
rnacentral:rRNA from 1 species